rnacentral:rRNA from 1 species
AGAACGAACGCUGGCGGCAUGCCUAAUACAUGCAAGUCGAACGAACACUUCGGUGUUAGUGGCGCACGGGUGCGUAACGCGUGGGAAUCUGCCCUUGGGUUCGGAAUAACAGUUGGAAACGACUGCUAAUACCGGAUGAUGACGAAAGUCCAAAGAUUUAUCGCCCAGGGAUGAGCCCGCGUAGGAUUAGCUAGUUGGUGGGGUAAAGGCUCACCAAGGCGACGAUCCUUAGCUGGUCUGAGAGGAUGAUCAGCCACACUGGGACUGAGACACGGCCCAGACUCCUACGGGAGGCAGCAGUAGGGAAUAUUGGACAAUGGGCGCAAGCCUGAUCCAGCAAUGCCGCGUGAGUGAUGAAGGCCUUAGGGUGUAAAGCUCUUUACCGAGAUGAUAAUGACAGUAUCGGAGAAUAAGCCCGGCUAACUCCGCGCCAGCAGCCG